GCGGACAUAACUGAGAGGUUUAGUGCUGGUCUGUGGAUCCGGAAACGUGGGUUCAAGUCCCACUGUUCGC
rnacentral:tRNA from 1 species